rnacentral:lncRNA from 1 species
CGACUGAUAAAGCACAGCCUGACAAGAAUACCAAGCUGAAAAUGAGGAGGAAGGGUGAUGGUGGCUCUGUUACUCCAGUGACUAUGACCCAACCUGACUCUGAUAAAAACCAGCCCAGAAGCCUUAGUGAGGAUGCUUAUCUGAAGAGUGAAAUCAGGCCAAGUGGUACCACCCCAGGGCCCGCCAAUAAGAAUCCCAAGCUGCUGCGGUUCCCGAUGAAGGACGUGAAAAAGCGGAAGCCGAGGAGCGGCACAUGGAGCAAGGAGCUCAUUCAUAAAAUCGUGCAGCAGAAAAACAAGCUGCACAAGCUCCAUGCGAAGAGCGAUAAGAACACCCCAGUCUCCAGAGCCACUGAGAAACUGCUGCUGGCAGCCCAGGACAGUAAAUUCGGCGAGUACGAGUACAUUUCGGAUUCAGAUGACGAAGGGGUGGUGUAUGCCAAGCUGCACAGCAGAAAGAAGCUGGGGUCCGCAUCGAAUGGGCGGACCAAGCACAGCUUUAGCAAGAGGUGCUCAGGGAGAGGGGAGAGGACCAAAGAGAAAGAGCCAACCUGGACCUAUAGCCAGAAGAGAGAUGGUCAGGAGCACAGGCGGGCCCCAAGCAAUGAAGCAAUAAAGAAAGAUGGCAUUGCAGCCAGAAUCCGAAGACGAAGCAGCCGAUCGUCCACCGGCAGCAGUCAUAGCACUAGCUUGUCCAGUGAAACUGGCGCUAGCCCCCCAAGCACUGAAAGGGCCGACUCUGACAACGAGAAUGAAAGCGUCCAGAACAGAAGAUACCCAGAUAGUUCUGAGCAGAUCACACCACUUCCAAGGAACUCGCUGAGCCUUCUUGAUAAAGAGACUCUAAAGAUGAGCAAUGAAACCAAAGUGGGCUUUUCCAGAGGGACAAGGAGGUUUGGCUCAGCCAAAUAUUUGCUGACUGCCUCCACGACACGUCGCAGCGAUAGGUCAUGCAUUUCUCCGGCAGGUUCUAUGAACGAGGAAAGCUCACCAGAAAGCAAAGAAAAAC